rnacentral:misc_RNA from 1 species
UAAACAUAAACAUCAUAUUCUAAAUAUCUAAAUUGUUUUAUUUAAAAACCGUUCGAUUUUUAAUUGGUAAGAUUGAAUCCAAUCCCACUGGAGUCACCUUACCAAUGUUUAUACAGUCUACUACACACAACAUUCAGUUAGGUCAUAAUUAAGAUUUGUAGAGCAAUAAGAAUAAUUUGUUUGAUUAUGCCAUAAUUUUUCAUUUCAGUAUUCAAUGUAUUAUGCAUAAUUUGGAUGGACGUGUACUACACAAAUGUUUUGCUAUUAUGGAUCAAGAACUUACAAUGAGAGUCUCCCUAUUGAGUAUUUAAACUUAAGAACAUACCAUGAAUGAUGUUUACUAAGAAUUUUGGUUAUUCAAUGUAUUAUGCAUAAUUUGGAUGGACGUGUACUACACAAAUGUUUUGCUAUUAUGGAUCAAGAACUUACAAUGAGAGUCUCCCUAUUGAGUAUUUAAACUUAAGAACAUACCAUGAAUGAUGUUUACUAAGAAUUUUGGUUAUUCAAUGUAUUAUGCAUAAUUUGGAUGGACGUGUACUACACAAAUGUUUUGCUAUUAUGGAUCAAGAACUUACAAUGAGAGUCUCCCUAUUGAGUAUUUAAACUUAAGAACAUACCAUGAAUGAUGUUUACUAAGAAUUUUGGUUAUUCAAUGUAUUAUGCAUAAUUUGGAUGGACGUGUACUACACAAAUGUUUUGCUAUUAUGGAUCAAGAACUUACAAUGAGAGUCUCCCUAUUGAGUAUUUAAACUUAAGAACAUACCAUGAAUGAUGUUUACUAAGAAUUUUGGUUAUUCAAUGUAUUAUGCAUAAUUUGGAUGGACGUGUACUACACAAAUGUUUUGCUAUUAUGGAUCAAGAACUUACAAUGAGAGUCUCCCUAUUGAGUAUUUAAACUUAAGAACAUACCAUGAAUGAUGUUUACUAAGAAUUUUGGUUAUUCAAUGUAUUAUGCAUAAUUUGGAUGGACGUGUACUACACAAAUGUUUUGCUAUUAUGGAUCAAGAACUUACAAUGAGAGUCUCCCUAUUGAGUAUUUAAACUUAAGAACAUACCAUGAAUGAUGUUUACUAAGAAUUUUGGUGUAGUAUUCAAUGUAUUAUGCAUAAUUUGGAUGGACGUGUACUACACAAAUGUUUUGCUAUUAUGGAUCAAGAACUUACAAUGAGAGUCUCCCUAUUGAGUAUUUAAACUUAAGAACAUACCAUGAAUGAUGUUUACUAAGAAUUUUGGUUAUUCAAUGUAUUAUGCAUAAUUUGGAUGGACGUGUACUACACAAAUGUUUUGCUAUUAUGGAUCAAGAACUUACAAUGAGAGUCUCCCUAUUGAGUAUUUAAACUUAAGAACAUACCAUGAAUGAUGUUUACUAAGAAUUUUGGUUAUUCAAUGUAUUAUGCAUAAUUUGGAUGGACGUGUACUACACAAAUGUUUUGCUAUUAUGGAUCAAGAACUUACAAUGAGAGUCUCCCUAUUGAGUAUUUAA